rnacentral:rRNA from 1 species
AGCGAACGCUGGCGGCAGGCUUAACACAUGCAAGUCGAACGGGCAUAGCAAUAUGUCAGUGGCAGACGGGUGAGUAACGCGUGGGAACGUACCUUUUGGUUCGGAACAACACAGGGAAACUUGUGCUAAUACCGGAUAAGCCCUUACGGGGAAAGAUUUAUCGCCGAAAGAUCGGCCCGCGUCUGAUUAGCUAGUUGGUAGGGUAAUGGCCUACCAAGGCGACGAUCAGUAGCUGGUCUGAGAGGAUGAUCAGCCACAUUGGGACUGAGACACGGCCCAAACUCCUACGGGAGGCAGCAGUGGGGAAUAUUGGACAGUGGGCGAAAGCCUGAAGCAGCCAUGCCGCGUGAGUGAUGAAGGCCGUAGGGUUGUAAAGCUCUUUUGUGCGGGAAGAUAAUGACGGUACCGAAAGAAUAAGCCCCGGCUAACUUCGUG